ANAAUCAGUCGUGAGUANNANNAUNCCCCUGUANACAGCGGGAAGCUACUGCUAAUACCGGAUGUGCCGAGAGGUGAAAGGCUUGCUGCCUGAAGAUGAGCUCGCGUCUGAUUAGCUAGUUGGUGGUGUAAGGGACUACCAAGGCGACGAUCAGUAGCUGGUCUGAGAGGAUGAUCAGCCACACUGGGACUGAGACACGGCCCAGACUCCUACGGGAGGCAGCAGUGGGGAAUUUUCCGCAAUGGGCGAAAGCCUGACGGAGCAAUACCGCGUGAGGGAGGAAGGCUCUUGGGUUGUAAACCUCUUUUCUUAGGGAAUAAAAAAAUGAAGGUACCUAAGGAAUAAGCAUCGGCUAACUCCGUGCCAGCAGCCGCGGUAAUACGGAGGAUGCAAGCGUUAUCCGGAAUGAUUGGGCGUAAAGCGUCCGCAGGUGGUUUUGUCAAGUCUGCUGUCAAAGAAUGAGGCUUAACCUCAUCAAGGCAGUGGAAACUGAGAGACUAGAGUGCGUUCGGGGCAGAAGGAAUUCCUGGUGUAGCGGUGAAAUGCGUAGAGAUCAGAAGACACCGGUGGCGAAAGCGUUCUGCUAGGCCGCAACUGACACUGAGGGACGAAAGCUAGGGGAGCGAAUGGGAUUAGAUACCCCAGUAGUCC
rnacentral:rRNA from 1 species